UCCGGGUGCGGGCCAUUUAAAAAGCGCGCCGAACUCAUCACUGGUUUUGCUAGUAGUGAGGCGACGAUGCGGAAGUGGGCGCUCUCCUCCGCGCUGCUCCUCCUCUUCCUCCUCACGACCCUCCCCGGUCCAGCUAAGAAGCUACAAGUGAAUGCCGAGGAGAGCAGUGAUGACUUGGCCAACCCACCAAAAGUAGAGGAGAAGAUUGGUGCUGUUCCUCAUGGCCUGUCAACUGACUCUGAGGUUGCCCAGAGGGAAGCCGAGUCAAUCUCUAGGAAGACUCUCAGGAGCUCGGCAGAGAAGUUUGAGUUCCAAACUGAGGUGUCCAGACUCAUGGACAUCAUCAUCAACUCACUCUACAGCAACAAGGACAUUCUCCUGAGGGAGCUCAUAUCCAAUGCCUCUGAUGCCUUGGAUAAGAUUAGAUUCCUUUCCCUCACUGAUAAGGAGGUUCUGGGCGAAGGUGACACUGCUAAGCUUGAAAUCCAGAUUAAGUUGGACAAAGAAAAGAAGAUCCUCUCCAUUCGGGAUAGGGGUAUUGGUAUGAUCAAGGAAGAUCUGAUUAAGAACCUUGGAACCAUAGCUAAAUCUGGGACUUCAGCUUUUGUGGAAAAGAUGCAGUCUGGAGGUGACCUCAAUCUGAUUGGACAGUUUGGUGUCGGUUUCUAUUCUGUGUACUUGGUUGCUGACUAUGUCGAAGUGGUCAGCAAGCACAAUGAUGAUAAACAGUAUGUGUGGGAGUCGAAGGCUGAUGGAUCAUUUGCUAUAUCUGAGGAUACAUGGAAUGAACCUCUUGGCCGUGGAACUGAGAUAAGACUCCAUCUGCGAGAUGAGGCCAAGGAGUACUUGGAAGAGGAUAAGCUAAAGGAUUUGGUGAAGAAGUACUCUGAGUUCAUCAACUUCCCCAUUUAUUUGUGGUCGACCAAGGAGGUUGAUGUUGAAGUGCCAGCUGACGAGGAGGAAACAAGUGAGGAAGAGGAUUCGAACCCAGAAACCACCAAGGAGGAAGAAACAGAAGAAAGUGAAGAGAAAAAGGCCAAGACAAAGAUAAUAAAGGAGACUACUUCUGAGUGGGAGCUUCUGAAUGAUGUGAAGGCUGUAUGGCUUCGUAGCCCAAAGGAGGUUACUGAUGAAGAGUACUCAAAGUUUUACCACUCGCUAGCUAAGGACUUCGGUGAUGACAAGCCAAUGGCUUGGAGCCACUUCACUGCUGAGGGAGAUGUUGAGUUCAAAGCUUUGCUCUUUGUUCCCCCGAAGGCUCCACAUGAUCUUUAUGAGAGUUACUACAACAAUAACAAGUCAAAUCUCAAGUUGUAUGUCAGAAGAGUUUUUAUCUCUGAUGAAUUCGAUGACCUUCUUCCAAAGUAUCUCAGCUUUUUGAAGGGUAUUGUUGACUCGGACACACUACCCCUGAAUGUUUCACGAGAAAUGCUUCAACAACAUAGCAGUCUGAAGACCAUCAAGAAGAAGCUGAUCCGCAAAGCUCUUGACAUGAUUAGGAAAAUUGCUGAAAAAGAUCCUGAAGAGUACAUCAACAAAGAUAAGACAGAUGAAGAGAAAAGUGAAAUGGCGGAGAAGAAGGGUCAGUAUGCCAAGUUCUGGAAUGAGUUUGGCAAAUCAAUCAAGCUGGGCAUCAUUGAAGAUGCAACUAACAGGAACCGCCUUGCUAAGCUUUGAAAGGUUCAUCCUUCACUACUUACCAAGUCAGAUGGCAAACUUGCCUCUCUUGACGAGUACAUUUCAAGGAUGAAGCCUGGGCAGAAAGACAUCUUCCACAUCACAGGAAGUAGCAAAGAACAGCUGGAGAAAUCUCCGUUCCUUGAGAGGCUUACCAAGAAAAACUAUGAGGUUAUCUUCUUCACUGACCCAGUGGACGAGUACCUGAUGCAAUACUUGAUGGACUACGAGGACAAGAAGUUCCAGAACGUGUCUAAGGAGGGCCUGAAGCUGGGCAAGGACUCGAAGCUCAAGGACCUCAAGGAGUCAUUCAAGGAGCUGACUGACUGGUGGAAGAAGGCCCUGGAGAGCGAGAACGUGGACUCGGUGAAGAUCAGCAACCGGCUGCACAACACCCCCUGCGUUGUUGUGACCUCCAUGUACGGGUGUAGCGCCAACAUGGAGAAGAUCAUGCAGGCGCAGACCCUGUCGGACUCAAGCAAGCAGGCGUACAUGCGUUGCAAGAGGGUGCUGGAGAUCAACCCCAGGCACCCCCAUCAUCAAGGAGCUCUGCGACAAGGUCGCCCAGGACAGCGAGAGCGAGGGCUUGAAGCAGACGGCGAGGCUGGUGUACCAGACUGCCCUGAUGGAGAGUGGGUUCAACCUCCCUGACCCCAAGGAGUUCGCAUCCAGCAUCUACAAGUCGGUGCAGAAGAGCCUGGACCUUAGCCCCGAUGCGACGGUUGAGGAGGAAGACGAGGCGGAGGAGCAGCCCGAGGUGGAAGAGAAGGAAUCGGCCAAGGAGGAGUCGGAGCCGUCCUACGACAAGGACGAGCUGUAGGGGGUGUUCGGAAAUGUUGUUUAGCCCUCCGUUUAGGUGAAGGGGAUCUCCACUCGCUGCCUGCCUGGUGUUAGGAAUGUGUUGGUUCUUGGAGACGUCCAUUUUUCCCAUGCGAACGUGAUACGGGAUUUUUGCCUGUCUGUCUGUCUUUGUACCUAUACAAACUUUAGUUCAAUCUAAUUAGUGGGGUUGCACACGUCUUUACUAGCGUGGCUUGAGAGACCACGACUGAACUGAAUCAUCAUGUUCAGAGUCCA